rnacentral:rRNA from 1 species
UGGGGAAUAUUGCGCUAAUGCGCGAAAGCGUGACGCAGCGACGCCGCGUGCGGGAUGAAGGCCCUCGGGUCGUAAACCGCUUUCGCCAGGGACGAAGGGAAACUGACGGUACCUGGAGAAGAAGUCCCGGCUAACUACGUGCCAGCAGCCGCGGUAACACGUAGGGGACGAGCGUUGUCCGGAAUCAUUGGGCGUAAAGCGCGCGUAGGCGGCCCGGAAAGUCGGAUGUGAAAUCCCGGGGCUCAACCCCGGGCCUGCACCCGAUACUCCCGGGCUGGAGGCAGGUAGGGGAGAUCGGAAUUCCUGGUGUAGCGGUGAAAUGCGCAGAUAUCAGGAGGAACACCGGUGGCGAAGGCGGAUCUCUGGGCCUUGCCUGACGCUGAGGCGCGAAAGCUAGGGGAGCGAACAG